GGCCGGCUAGCUCAGUUGGUUAGAGCGUCGUGCUAAUAUGCCAUAUUAAACGCGAAGGUCUUGGGUUCGAUCCCCACGUUGGCCA